rnacentral:rRNA from 2 species
UGCGCUUACAAUCCGUCAGAGCCCUCCUUCGUGGUGGGGUGAUGGCGUGCCUUUUGAAGAAUGAGCCUGCGAGUCAGGGACAUGUCGCGAGGUUAACCCGUGUGGGGUAGCCGUAGCGAAAGCGAGUCUGAAUAGGGCGUAUCCACACAAUAGUGUGUGGUGUAGUGGUGUGUUCUGGACCCGAAGCGGAGUGAUCUACCCAUGGCCAGGGUGAAGCGCGGGUAAGACCGCGUGGAGG